rnacentral:ncRNA from 1 species
AUGUAUUCUAUUCGUUUACGGUAAGCUAGCAAUAAAAAAGCGGUUAUAUCAUCCACAAUGGUGGGCUUUUUUGUUGUGCUUAUUUGCGAAUUGAGACAUAGAUACGGGUGAAGUGUAACCAUCUGAGGUUAUACGUUUUUGCCUAUGUCUUUUUAACGUUAAAAGGCAGACUAAAGCUCGCACUGCGGAUUUUAGUCUGUCUUUUUUAU